GUGUAAAGCGCUUUGAGUGCCCAGAAAAGUGCUAUAUAAAUGUAAGGAAUUAUUAUUAUUCCAGCUGAUGUUGCUGAUGACUGAAAGUGAGCACAAGUUUAACAGUCAAGUUAGAAAAUGCCUUAUUAGUUCUUUUUAUAUAAUAAACUUUUCUCUUUUUAGUGUCUCUGCAGGAGAGCAUUGUGGGUUUUAUUGGUGACUCAGUUGUUAUCGAAUGCUCUACUAGACAACCUGAGCUCACAGUUCAAGACAUCAUAGUGCGCUGGAGACACAAUAAUCUGAACGUGUACGACAUUAUUAAUGGACAAGUUUCAGUAGAGGGACAAAAUCAAGAAUAUAAGAACAGAGCUGAAACCUUCCCUGAUGAAUAUAAGAAUGGAAACUUCUCGCUCAAACUCAACAAUCUUCAACACAGAGAUAAAGGAAGAUACACAUGCUAUAUUAUAAGACAAUCAAUAUUAAAGAGUUUCAAUCUUAUUGUCAAAGAAAAACAAGUAAGAGGAAGUACAAACCAAGGAACAAAACCAAGACCAAAGAGGACUGCAAUAAUGUUUGCUAACUCUGCCACAGGAGUUUAUUUGAAAUUCCAUGUUCCGGUUCCAAGCCCAAAUAAAAUGAGGAGUGGCUAUAGCAGGACUUAGAUGAACAGGAAAAAAAGACAUAACAAUAUUUCAGAUUGUGGCACAUGCCACAGCCAUGUCACCCUGCAGCCCAAGACCGGUUACUCACUGAAGCUAUGCAGGGCUGAGCCUGGUCAGUACCUGGAUGGG